GCCCCCAUAGCUCAAAGGACAGAGCAAGAACCUCCUAAGUUCGAGAUGCCGGUUCGAGUCCGGCUGGGGGCU
rnacentral:tRNA from 1 species